ACGUCUAGGCUAAAUCAAGGCUAAAUUUGGGCUGUCAGUGAAAAUCUAAUAGACGUCUAACCAUAGCCCAAGAAUAGACAAUAGUCAUCAAUUAGACGGCUUUUGAACGACUACAUAUAUACGUCUAAUAGACAGUGCAUAUGGGUCUAGGCUAAAACAAGGCUGAAUUUGGGCUGUCAGUGAAAAUCUAAUAGACGUCGAACCGUAGCCCAAGAAUAGACUAGUCAUCAAUUAGACGGCUAUUAAACGACUACACAUAUACAUGUAAUAGACAACAAAAUGAUGGCUAAAGGAUUCUUUUCACUCAAAUAUAACAGGUUCUCAUAAAUGACAAUCCAUCCAAACAAAUUAAA